CUAAUACCGCAUAAGACCACAGCACCGCAUGGUGCAGGGGUAAAAACUCCGGUGGUACAGGAUGGACCCGCGUCUGAUUAGCUGGUUGGUGAGGUAACGGCUCACCAAGGCGACGAUCAGUAGCCGGCUUGAGAGAGUGAACGGCCACAUUGGGACUGAGACACGGCCCAAACUCCUACGGGAGGCAGCAGUGGGGAAUAUUGCACAAUGGGGGAAACCCUGAUGCAGCGACGCCGCGUGAGUGAAGAAGUAUCUCGGUAUGUAAAGCUCUAUCAGCAGGGAAGAAAAUGACGGUACCUGACUAAGAAGCCCCGGCUAACUACGUGCCAGCAGCCGCGGUAAUACGUAGGGGGCAAGCGUUAUCCGGAAUUACUGGGUGUAAAGGGUGCGUAGGUGGUAUGGCAAGUCAGAAGUGAAAACCCAGGGCUUAACUCUGGGACUGCUUUUGAAACUGUCAGACUAGAGUGCAGGAGAGGUAAGCGGAAUUCCUAGUGUAGCGGUGAAAUGCGUAGAUAUUAGGAGGAACAUCAGUGGCGAAGGCGGCUUACUGGACUGAAACUGACACUGAGGCACGAAAGCGUGGGGAGCAAACAGGAUUAGAUACCCUGGUAGUCCACGCCGUAAAC
rnacentral:rRNA from 1 species